GACGAACGCUGGCGGCGUGCUUCAUACAUGCAAGUCGAACGAGAAGCUGACUUCGGUCAGUGGAAAGUGGCGGACGGGUGGGUAAUAUGUAGGAAAUCUGCCUUUAACAGGGGGACAACAGAGGGAAACUUCUGCUAAUACCCCAUAUGAGCGUAGCUGAAAUGCUGUUCUUGAAAACUCCGGUGCCUAAAGAUGAGCCUGCAUCUGAUUAGCUAGUUGGUAAUGUAAUGGACUACCAAGGCGACGAUCAGUCACCGGUUUGGGAGGAUGAUCAGCCACAACUGGACCGAGACACCGCCCAUACCUCCUACGGGGGGAGCAGGAGGGGAUUUUGCGCAAUGGGCGAAAGGCUUACGCAGCAACGCCCGGGGAACGAAUAAGGGCCUCGGGGUGGUAAGGCCUUUUAGCGCGGAAGAAAAUUGACGGUACCGACAGAAUAAGCACCGGCUAACUCCGUG
rnacentral:rRNA from 1 species